UUUAAAAACAUCGAAGGAAUACCAUUUUAAAAUUUUGAAAAUAUAAACUUUUAUCUGCAAUUAAAUUCUUUUGGAGUCUAUUGAAUUUACAAAUUCAAUAGCACAACCCCCUAAAAUUCAUUUCACAACCGCCUUGGUAUUUACGACAAUUUCAGGUCACGUUUGCAACGGAUUGUUCUCAAUUGGUGAAGAUGGUUUCGGAACCAGAAGAAUGACCAGCUUUUGCAAAUUAUUUAGAAGAUUUACAACUCCUGAAAGCAAGUUUCCUCCGAUCAGAGAUUCUCUAUGUUUCAAGAACGCACAAUACCAAGGCGGACAGCCUAGCACGCAGUGCAAGGAAGCAACCGUCUUUCGUCGUUCACAUGGAUGCAAAUCUCCCAACAUGGUUCACAGAGUAUAUAUGAGUAUGUAUAAGUUGAUGAAAAAAAAAAAAAAACUAAAAAAAAAUACUAGAGAUAAAAUUGGGCCUACAAUGAAAGUUUAAUGACUGAAUGGGCAGUUGAGGCCCAACCCCUAACUGAAAGUUUAAUGACCAUAUGGGCAAAGUUUAGACCCAACAAGAAACUGAAAGUUUAAUGACCAACUGGGGGAAAGUUUAGGCCUAACAACCAACUGAAAGUUUGUGUUCAAUAAUAGUAAAUAUGACAUGGGGUUAGUUAAUGCAAGAAGUGAUGACAGAUCCUGAAGUAGAAACUUCAGAGGGUAUUUUGACAAAGCAUUUCAUGAGACAGGACUUGGACAAAGUGUUGGAAUCGUUGAGCCCAGGGAGAAGCAGGUGAUACUUUGGAGAUUUGGGAUGGAGGAUGGGAGGAUGAAGACGUUGCGAGAGAUUGGUGAGACGAUGGGUGUGAGCCGGGAAAGAAUGAGGCAGACAGAGUCCUCUGCUUUCAGGAAACUCAAGAAACCAUUUGCAGCAAUACUUAGUUGAGUAUACUUCGUUAUACAAGCAGUAAUUAUUUUCUUAGCAUUUACUAUUUUUGUGGCGACCAGAUGCAACUUUGAUUAACAAAGCCGGUGAGAACUUAUCUGCAUUAAUAUAAAAGUCACAUUUUUCUAAAGACAAAGAACUAAGAGCAAUUGCACUCCGUAUACACAAAAAUAAGAUUAUUUAGCUAUGUGGUUGUGCCACUGUUGUAUUUUCAAUAUUCCAAUAAAGUCCCUAUAACUAGAAUACGAUUACAGAGAAAUAACUACAGAGAAAUAAUCAAAGCGAUUCACUUCAGAGACAUGUUUAAAACCUUCGAUCGAAGAAGAGGACAGAUGAUAGACUGAUUCUUUUUUGAUGUUAUGUUCCAUGUUGAGUUUGCUUAAAGAACUUGUUUCAGUUUCUUUGGUUCUAUAAACAGUUUCCAAGAUGAAGACAACAAGGGGGAAAGAUAAAGCUAAGAACACCAAGGAAGCCUUGAAGCCUGUUGAUGACAUGUUCAUCCUCUGAAACUAUAUAAAGGAAAUAAAUUUCUUGCUAAAUCAUUGUCUUUUGUUGUUUGAUCUCAAAUAUAAAGGUGAAAGCUUUUUCUUUCAGAAAGGUGAGAAAGAGGAAGGCACGGCUGAGAAGGUUAGCAUGCGGGAGAAGAAGGCCAAGAAGGAUCCAAACAAACCCAAAAGAGCUCUCAGUGCCUUAUUUAUCUUCCUGAAGCGCAGCUAGAAAAGGGAAAAGGCAGGAGAUGUAGAGGAAUAUGACGAUGAUGAUGCUAAUGAAGACAAGGAAAAAGAAAGACUAUUGCUUCAAUAUUAUUGUGGGAUAUCUGUGUAAUUUCACUGCUGCUUUUCUAUCCAACUAGCUAAAUAAUUUUUUUUCUGCA